UACAGAGGGGGGCAAGCGUUUGUUCGGAAUCACUGGGCGUAAAGCGCACGUAGGCGGAUUGUUAAGUCAGGGGUGAAAUCCUGGAGCUCAACUCCAGAACUGCCUUUGAUACUGGCGAUCUUGAGUCCGGGAGAGGUGAGUGGAACUGCGAGUGUAGAGGUGAAAUUCGUAGAUAUUCGCAAGAACACCAGUGGCGAAGGCGGCUCACUGGCCCAUAACUGACGCUGAGGCACGAAAGCGUGGGGAGCAAACAGG
rnacentral:rRNA from 1 species